CUGUCUCUUUAGAUGCGAGGGCAAAAUAGCACUUUAUGGACUUCUACAGAGGACAUCAUGUUUAAUACGGUUCCGGAAAAAUCCAGUCAGAAGUUGUUCACGGAGUUUUCACAAUAACUGCUUCUCAUGAACCGAAGCUGGAUUUGCGCGACGUCUCCUCUUGAAAGUUGGAUUACUGUGCACUUCUGGAUCACAGACUAUUCGCAGCUGUACACAUCCUUCUACACUGUAUGCAAACAUGCAACAUCAUAACACACAGUACAAGGAGUCAGACUGGCAUAUGAGGAGCAAAGGAACCCAGGCAGUAGCAUCGUUUCACAAUGUUUCCAUCAUCAUCAUCAGUGGAUGCCUUUGCCGUCCGUAGCCUGAGAUUUCAGAUUUGCAGCAAAAAAAUUGAUUUUCUCAUUUAUUGGAAUGCUGUGCAGGUAUUUGUACCUUGCAGCCAUCCAUUACAAUGUCACCAAGCCGUAACAAAAGCAGGAGAGGGAAAGUACAAGGCUAUGUUCCCAAAACACAAAUGACAUACCUUAUGUGGAGGAUGUGAUCAGGCUUGUGUUUGAUGAGGUAUUUGAAGAUAAGCUGAAAGAAACCCCGAUUCCAAUGGACCUGGCAUCACAGUUUGAGAGACCUUCAAAGGAGGACGUGAUUGCAUGCCAUCUUCAGUGCA